rnacentral:rRNA from 1 species
GUGCCAGCCGCCGCGGUAAUACGGAGGGUGCAAGCGUUGUCCGGAUUUCUUGGGUUUAAAGGGUGCGUAGGCGGCCAUUUAAGUCAGAGGUGAAAUCCCGUGGCUCAACCACGGAACUGCCUUUGAUACUGUAUGGCUUGAGUUCGGUAGAGGCGGGCGGAACGGUUGGUGUAGCGGUGAAAUGCAUAGAUACCACCAAGAACCCCGAUUGCGUAGGCAGCUCGCUGUGCCUGAACUGACGCUGAGGCACGAAAGCGUGGGGAGCGAACAGGAUUAGAAAGCCUAGUAGGCC